GAUGAAGAACGUAGCGAAAUGCGAUAAGUAGUGUGAAUUGCAGAAUUCAGUGAAUCAUCGAAUCUUUGAACGCACAUUGCGCCCUUUGGUAUUCCUUAGGGCAUGCCUGUUCGAGCAUCAUUUAAACCUUCAAGCUAAGCUUGGUGUUGGGUGACUGUCCGCUUCACGGCGGACUCGCCUCAAAAUUAUUGGCGGCCGGUACAUUGGCUUCGAGCGCAGCAGAAACGCGAACUCGGGCCCGUCGUAUUGGCUCCCAGAAGCUAUCUUCACAAUUUUGACCUCGGAUCAGGUAGGGAUACCCGCUGAACUUAAGCAUAUCAAUAAGCGGAGGA
rnacentral:misc_RNA from 1 species